rnacentral:rRNA from 1 species
AACGAACGCUGGCGGCAGGCUUAACACAUGCAAGUCGAACGCACCUUUCGGGGUGAGUGGCAGACGGGUGAGUAACGCGUGGGAAUCUACCCUUCUCUACGGGAUAGCUCCGGGAAACUGGAAUUAAUACCGUAUACGUCCUGAGGGAGAAAGAUUUAUCGGGGAAGGAUGAGCCCGCGUUGGAUUAGCUAGUUGGUGGGGUAAAGGCCUACCAAGGCGACGAUCCAUAGCUGGUCUAAGAGGAUGAUCAGCCACAUUGGGACUGAGACACGGCCCAAACUCCUACGGGAGGCAGCGGGGGGGAUUAUUGGACAGUGGGCGCAGCCUGAUCCAGCCAUGCCGCGUGAGUGAUGAAGGCCCUAGGGUUGUAAAGCUCUUUCAGUGGGGACGAUAAUGACGGUACCCACAGAAGAAGCCCCGGCUAACUUCGUG